rnacentral:pre_miRNA from 1 species
AUUCUACUCCCUCUGUUGUACAAUACAUGCCUUCUAUUUGUCAAAAUAUAUGUGUAUCUAGACAUGUUUUAGUAAUAUAGGCACAUCCAUUUUUGGACAAAUGGAAGUCAAGUAUUUUGGAACAUAGGGAGUACACA